rnacentral:lncRNA from 1 species
UGCUUUCUAAAACAUCAUCUCUUUGUAAUUGGAGAGCUUAUAUUCUCAAACUUAUGGGGACACUUUAUAAGCGCAGGACAUUAGUAGUUCUAGUCCUAUAUUUUAUAUAGUCACAAAAGAAGCCUAUUUCUUCAAUAAUAAAUGUAGUCAAUUAUUUCACAACAAUUCCAGCUCAGCACCAUUAUGAGCGGACCAUUAUUUCCAACCCGUCUGCAGUUACAUGUCUCUGUUGCGCGUGGCUCUGAACACUAAUCAUUGGCUACAUGUUCCUUUAAUGAAACACGUGCAUUUUCCGAUUUAGCAUAUCCUAACGAUGGACCUGCCUAAGGUGCCACCGUGUGCAGCAUUGAUUCCAGAUCCCAUAAUGUGUGUUGCACAUGAACUACUUUCCUAGUAUUGUUGUUAUAGUAUAUCUCCAACGUUCAAUGUUAGUUUUUUCUUUUAAGCCGGAUGAACAAAAAACUUCCAAAAACAUAUUUAUAUACUUUUUCACAUCUGAAUAUGUUGUAUCCAAGCCCUCAUUUGAAACUGUAGUUCACCAUAGUUUUCAGAGUAGUUUGAUUCAUGACAAUCGUACACAUACUAUCAUAAUAUGCAAUUUUUAUAUUUAAAAUAAAUAAUUUUUAGAGCUAUUAUCGAUCAAAAAUAAAAGUGCAUGACUUAGUACAAACAUAAACAUAGCUAUGCUCUUACAUGGAUGGAGCAUACCAAAAUACCACACAAACUGCCAAACAAGAUUUGACUUAGAAGGGAGUAGUUGAUGAGCUCUACUAGCUAAUUUUUUUUGCGAAUCGCACAAUACAUGCAGAUGCUCACAUACACGUACACAUACUCAUCCCUACGAACACACGCACGUAAUCCUACCCCUAUGAGCACCUCUGAAAGACUGAGCCGGUAAAUCUUCAAGAUUGACGAAGUCAUCACUAAUACCUCCCUAUCGACGGGUCGGCAUCAGUUGCCAUCUGCUGGAGCUUGCUACAUCAUUUUGACAAUACAGCGUGUAAUCUCAGGUAAGGCCAAGUCGCGGGCGCGGGUGCUGCUAGAGCAUGACGGUCUUUUUUCCGUUUCUUAUAUGUGUACAGAAAACGUCAAGGAUAUGGACCCACCUGUCCGUGUGGUAAAUAAUAAUUAAGCCCCACGUGUCAACAAGAUUAAAUUGGACCAAACCAAAAAAAAGUGGGCAGAAGCGGUCCUCACUUUAUAGAUUGGUAAGGUAUAUAUAGUGAGAGUAUACUCCGUGGCCAGCCAUAGAAUAGCUUAUUCUGUAGCUACGCUAUCUAACCAACCACCCAUCACAACUGCUAUACAGCAAAUCGAUUAUGGUACGACCAUAACUG